rnacentral:misc_RNA from 1 species
UCCGAGUUGACCCCGGCAGUCUCCUGCGAGUCCCCGGCAUUACCCGCUGGCAACAUAGGGCAAGGGUUGCGCUCGUUGCGGGACUUAACCCAACAUCUCACGACACGAGCUGACGACAGCCAUGCAGCACCUGUGCACGUGUCCCGAAGGAGGGCCCCUGUUUCCAGGGGCUUUCACGUGCAUGUCAAGCCCAGGUAAGGUUCUUCGGGUUGCAUCGAAUUAAGCCGCAUGCUCCGCCGCUUGUGCGGGGACCCGUCAAUUCCUUUGAGUUUUAGCCUUGCGGCCGUACUCCCCAGGCGGGAUACUUAAUGCGUUAGCUUCGGCACGGAGAGGGUUGAAGACCUCCCCACACCUAGCACCCAACGUUUACGGCUGGGACUAC